CUGUAACGUUACAGCUGAGAGGUUAGUUGCAUUUUGUGCUUUUUAAUCUAACACAGAUCUGGCAACCAUAAGGAGAUGUUUUGAGUGUGUGCUGAUGUAGGUCAGUGCACCUAUGGGCUUCUCUCUCUCAUGGGUGUGUCUAUGUCUUGUGCAAUAAUGCAGUCCUGAAGUCUGUGCAGGAUGUUGUCCGUGUCACGUCCAGCGUCACGAACGACAUUCUAGGAAAAUCUGGCCGUGAACUCUGCAGAGAACACAAACAUCACUCUGGAAUGUGCGGGAAAAACACAAUGGAAUUGCCUCACGGCAGGUCAAAGGUCAAGGCUGUCCAGCCAAUCAUCACACAGCAUAGAAAAGCAUGGAGAGGAAUGUAAAGAAACUAAACUGACUGGUGCACGUCUCGAACAAUUCAUGCUUAGAGGUUUUUUAGAAUUAUUAUUAUUGGUUUUUUUCAUAGCCUGAAUUGUGUUGGAUUUGUUUACAGCGCCUGAGACUAAAGGCACAGCUGUACACUGAAAAAAGUCCAGGAAAAGAGAAAAGAAUGUCGCUUGUGGAGUUUGAUUGUUCGUUUGAAGUCUUUGAACAGAAAUAGUAAAGAAAACGUCCUUCGUGGUUCAUGACUGCAAACACUGAGCAGGUCACAUGAUCACCCAUAAAUAAAAAAAUAAAAAUAAACAAACAAAUAA